rnacentral:rRNA from 1 species
AUCGAACGCUGGCGGCAGGCCUAACACAUGCAAGUCGAGCGAGCGGCGGACGGGUGAGUAAUGUCUGGGAACCCGCCUGUUGGAGGGGGAUAACAACUGGAAACGGCAGCUAAUACCGUACACCAUCAGAUGUGCCCAGAUGGGAUUAGCUAGUAGGUGGGGUAACGGCUCACCUAGGCGACGAUCCCUAGCUGAUCUGAGAGGGUGACCAGCCACACUGGAACUGAGACACGGUCCAGACUCCUACGGGAGGCAGCAGUGGGGAAUAUUGCACAAUGGGCGCAAGCCUGAUGGAGCCAUGCCGCGUGUGUGAAGAAGGCCUUCGGGUUGUAAAGCACUUUCGGCAGGGAAGCGUUACCCGCAGAGGAAGCACCGGCUAACUCCGUGCCAGCAGCCGCGGUAAUAC